UAGUGAGAGUGAGGGAGGGGGUGACUAGUGACAGAGUGAGGGAGGGGGUGACUAGUGACAGAGUUAGGGAGGGAAGGGGUGACUAGGGAGAGAGUGAGGGAGGUGGUGACUAGUGACAGUCACCCCCUCCCUCACUCUGUCACUAGUCACUCCUCCCCUCCCUCACUCUGUCACUAGUCACUCCCUCCCUCACUCUGUCACCAGUCAUCCCCUCACUCUGUCACUAGUAACCCCUUCCUUCCCUCACUCUGCCACUAGUCACCCCUUCCCUCACUCUGUCACUUG